rnacentral:rRNA from 1 species
GACGAACGCUGGCGGCGUGCUUAACACAUGCAAGUCGAACGGAAAGGCCCCUUUGGGGGUACUCGAGUGGCGAACGGGUGAGUAACACGUGAGUAACCUGCCCUUGACUUCGGGAUAACUUCAGGAAACUGGGGCUAAUACCGGAUAGGAAUCCUUGCUGCAUGGUGGGGGUUGGAAAGCUUCGGCGGUUUUGGAUGGACUCGCGGCUUAUCAGCUUGUUGGUGGGGUAGUGGCUUACCAAGGCUUUGACGGGUAGCCGGCCUGAGAGGGCGACCGGCCACAUUGGGACUGAGAUACGGCCCAGACUCCUACGGGAGGCAGCAGUGGGGAAGAUUGCACAAUGGGCGGAAGCCUGAUGCAGCAACGCCGCGUGCGGGAUGACGGCCUUCGGGUUGUAAACCGCUUUCAGCAGGGGCGAAGCUUGUGGUGACGGUACCUGCAGAAGAAGCACCGGAUAACUACGUG